GGCAUGGUGGUGCAGUGGGUAGCACUGUCGCCUCACAGCAAGAAGGUUCUGGGUUCGAAUCUCAGCCUUUCUG
rnacentral:tRNA from 1 species